AUUGCAGAGGCUCUGUUGAUAAGUGAUCUUGAAGUUGUCUGAGUGGGGGAUUUUACUUUUGUGUGCUAAAGUAACAACAUCUUUAUUCCUGCACUGCAUUAAAAGUGGACUGACUUCCGCAGAAUGGAAAGCGUCCAGAAUUUCUUCUCUUCUGAUGGAGCUAAAGCUAAAACAGCAUUCAGUGUUGCGUGAGUGGUUUUUAGCUUUACCUCAAUGGAAGGCAAGACACAAUCGGUUGUGCUUCAUGACCCGGAAAUCAAGAUUCAUGUCCAAAGUUGGUGACAAGAAGAUAAUGUCUGCUAAAUACAAGAAUUGCCACUCACAGAAUCGAAAGGCUAGGAAUCGAUAUCAAAGGAUGGGUGAGCAAUCUUUAAUUUAACUCAUAUGUUAUUCAGCAUUUGAAACUAGGGGUUGUCUGCUGAUGAUUCAAGUGGUCUUUGAAAACAUUUUGAUCUUCUUGCUUUCCCUCUGUCAAAAGACCUAAAACUGGUGCUAUGCAUUUCAGAGAUAAAAUCUAACAGAGCUUAGCUUUUUAAUUGAGGUUGUUUAUUAAACCUGUCUCCCUUUCCCAUCAUUGAAACAGGAUUUCUCCCCCUCCUGAUCCCAAUUUAUAGGCAAUACAACCUGUUUUACAACAAGCGUGCUUUGAAGUUUUAUUGAUCUGUUGCUAAAGAGAUGUUCUCUUUCAAGAAAAAAGUGGCAGACAAAUAAGUACUUUUAUCAAAAAGUGAUCAGAUUCAUCACUUUCCUGCUUCCUUGUUAAAUACAAAUAAUAGUUGAUUUAGGAAAAGAAUUCCAUUGCCCCUACUCACAGUUAUUUCUAACUGGCUUAUUUUCCUUGGAAUUUUGUAAGAUAGAAAUUUGAACAAAGAAACCUUGUUUCUGAAUUACACAUAUUUUAAAUAAUUAACCCGGGGAGAUAAAUAUGUUUAUUUAUAAGCUGAAAGUCUUUAUUAAUCUAUCCCAACUCAAUUUGGUACUGGGAACUGAAUCCUUGUUCUAAAUCUCUGCAAAUAAGAGAGAAUUGCCACGUCACUUUAGGAUGUGAUUAUUUCAGGUGUCAGUGCCCACUGCAAGAUGGGUGGGAGAACACAAGGCAGUGCCACUUUUCUUCCUUUUCCUUAAAAUGAGCAAAUUUAAUUGUUCAUCUGCCCCUCACUUCCUCUCACUCAAAUUGGCUGAUAAAGAAAGCUCUAUUUCCCAUUCGUAACCAUAAACAUUUAGCCCCUAUUGAAAUUAGGUGGGCAAAUCAACCUGGAGAAAGGGAAAAUGCAGUGAUUUAUUAUGUCUUUUUAAUAUUUUUUUAUUUUUAAACAAACAUAAACAAACAUAAAACAUAAAAACCAUCCUCCAAUUACAUACAGUAUGUCGAUUGGUUACAAAAAUUUUGUCCUUCCUUACCAUAGUCUUCACUUCCAAUUUAUAUAGAAUCUCAUAUUAUCAAUCUAAUAUAUAUGUAUACAAUUAUUAUCAUUAUUAAACAUUCAU